rnacentral:lncRNA from 1 species
CGCACGCAGCUGCACUCACCGAAUUAGCCUGACCGCUUCUCCCAAGCACAUAGCUUCUCCCAACCACCAAACCCGUCUUACAAUACAUCGCGAAAUCCUCACAAUUAUUCUCGAACACAUGAUACUCACCAAACCCAUUUCUCAACAAAAGAAACUCCGCGCGAGAGAUCACUUCCUCCGAAGGAUCCGAAGCCGCCGUCGUGCAGGUACCUCCUCUUAGCUUGGACAUGAACAGAGCCGGAGAGACGCUGUACUCGAAGCGAAGGAGGUCUCUUCCGGCGAGAAAGCAAUCGAGACAAGAAGAGAUAACUCCAUGCGUGUUGGAAUGCUUUCCUCCACAGUUAGGACAAGGGUUGUCUCCUCCGUGAUUGGUAAUAGAGCUGACAAUGAGCUUGUCUAGAAAAGUUCCCGUUCCGAUUUCAAGACCGCCUCCACGUGUGAAAUGAAUGACCUUUCCGUCUCCUAUGUAGAUUCCUGUGAGAUUGCAAAUAUAAAGUUCGGAUCUUUGAUAAACCCAGAAGAGAGAUGGAGAGAUAGAGAAGAGGAGGAGAUGGGUUACCGUGAUGGGAAUAGAUAUAAGCGUUACGCCAUGAGUAGAUGUGAUCUCCUGGUUUCAGAUCGUCUUUAGAGAUCUUGUUGGAGAAUAAUCCUAUCUUCUCUAGAAGAAUGGAUUCCAUCUCUGGCUGGAUCAAUGUGGGUUCUCUAGAGAACUUUUUUCUAAGAUUGUUGGUUUUAAUAACCAAACCAUUAAAGUCAACUGGCUUUGUAUUGGCUUAGCUGCAUAACCCAAAGUCAACGAAUUAACGUAUCCCCGAAGAACUUUUAAAAACAUAUAAAUUUAUAUUUAAUAAAUUAACAUAAAUUUUAAUUUAGGCUAGUGUAAAAUAUAACAUAGUUCGAUUAAAUAAUAAAAUAAUAAAUUUUUGAAAAAAUUAGAAAAAUAUAUUGGAGUUGUUCACUAAAUUGCAAAUUAAUAAUCUCUCCGUUUCGUAAUACUUGAUGUUUUGUAUUAGUGCACAAAGAUUAAGAAAAUUAACUUUUUGUAAAAAAAAAUAUUUUAAAAAAUAUAAUUUUAAAAUCAAUGAACCAAUUACUAAAAAAACUUUAAAAUCUAAUUGGUUGAACAAUUUUCAAUAAAGUUAAAUUAAUCUUAAAAUUUCAAAACUUCAUGUAAAUUAUUACAAAAUAAUUUUUUUAAAACAUCAUCUAUAUUGAAACGGAGGGAGUAAUUGAUAUAUACAAAAUUUGUAUAAAGUUAUAUAAACAUAAUUUUUCUUUUAGAAUGAUCUAUAAGAAAAUUUAAAUAUUAUUUUAUCGAAUUACAUUUAAAAGUGCAUUAACUUUCUUCAGAAAAUGCAUCCAAAAAUGAAUUACAUCUAGGUGACUUAUUGAUAACUCAGAAAAAGCCUUUGUUUAUAUUCAGCUACAUAUACACACAAGGUGUUGAAGAAGAUAAAGAGACAAAAGCAUGUUGCACUCUCGUCUGAUUGAAAUGGGUUAUGAUCAGAAAACCUUCUUGUGUGGAGAGCUUUGUUUGGUUAUUGUCUUAUUGAUGAUGACUAGUACUGUAACACUAAAUUCCAAAUCAACCAACGGAGCCACACUAACGGUAGGUAAGUGAUCAAACACCAUUCAUCUUCCACUUCUGUGUGUUGUUUUUUGGUUUUUCAAGUUUUUUCAUUUAAUGACAUGUCAUUCUCAUAUGACUCUAAACAACUGAUGUGUCAAGUGCUGGAGAGAACCUUGCUGUAUUAUUGUGUUGAUUCCACCUCCGAAUUGUGUAGAAGGCAUUCGAGUGAUGGGCCAAAUCAUUGGGCCUAAACAAAAUUACUAAAAUAUAUAUAAUCUUCGUCCGUCUCUCUGUUAGACCAAAAUCGCUUAUAGGAGAGAGGGUAGAAGAGACGAGAAAGAUAAAUGAGGCCGAUGCAACUGGAUAUGUUGGCGGAGAUGGAUGAUGCAGGUUCUUCGAUGGCCAUGGACGUAGAUGACAUCGAAGCCAUGGAGAUGCUCAGCGAAGGAGGACUUAUCUCUGAGAACAAGCUCGCCGACGCCGAUUUCUUCAACAAGUUCGACGACGAUUUCGACGACUCCGAUAUCAACUGAUCUUCUUUAGCUCUCUAUUGUUUCAGAUUUCCCCUUUGUUUGGUUGAGUUUUUUUAUGUAAUUUCUGGAAGAAUCUAUAUUCCCCCGUUGAUUAGGGAUUCUGUGUUUGCGAAUCGAAGUUCCUAUCUGAACAUUAAGUAUGAUCUCUACAUGUCUUGUGGGUUUUGCUUACUAUCCUCUUGGAACAGAUUUAACAUUUGGGUACCUUAAUUGUUUUGCCUUUGUUUCUUUCUGGAGUUGGAAUCUGUUUUUGUUUUCUUGCUAAUUUAGCUUCAACCUAAUCUCUUAAGGUGUUUCUCGUUGUAUCUGAGAUGUGCAUAGACAUAAACUUCGUUUAUUAGACACAGAAGAGAUGUUAGAAGCGCCGCGAGACCAAGAAAUGAUUCUUUCCUCUUGUGUGAGGUUUUUCACUUUACUCUCUUUCCGGUUCACUACAAACCACGACUCUUGCCUCUUGGUUUGCAUUUGAUUUUUUCGGUUUUUGGUUUUAAAAGGUUUAAUUCGGGUAGAGAACAUCCAGUUCAGUUUUGUUUGGUUUGGUUAAGUGUUGGAAAGGUUGAUCUACCUUUUUGAGUUUAGUGAUUAGAUACAACUAAAAUUUUCUAUAUUGUUUCGUACUGAUUAGAUAAUGAUUAUUGAGCAUAAACAAACUUGAUAUUUAAAAGAGAUUAAUAUCCAAUAUUUAAAACAGAGAGAUUAAUAUCCAAGUUCUAAAGUUGUGGAAUAUAAAAUAUAUAUAUAUAUAUCCAACUCAUUAAUAUGAAUACCCACAUUCCAUUUCAUCCCCAAAAAUAUGAAUACCAACGAGCUCCACAAAGUGUGAAAUAGCACGCCUUCCCAGUGGAAUAUUGAGAAAACCACAUUGCCUCCACAGCAGCACGCUAUACUGAAGUUGAACGUAGUGGAUUUCACGCUUAGUCCCUCUGCCAGUAAGAGCUUCACAUGGUUAGAAGACCAAGUAGAGUUAACUUCCUCCAAAGUUGGACAGUGAAAUCCAUGUUACAAUAAAGCAUAAGCUCAGUGGACCAAGAAAAAAAAAACAAUUGAACAAGCCAAACAUGAAAGGAAGGAAAAAAGAACUAAUCGUAGACUGCCCUGGAUGUACAAACAAAUAAGGAUAGGAGGGAAGUCCUAUAGCAAGAGGAGAAUGUAUCAGUUGAUCCAAAAGUGCCUCUUCAAAAUGGACAUGAGAUGAAUAUUCAGUAGGAACACUCAUAUGAACAAGCAUCUCUGUCACAGCAAACAGAGGUGGAUCCUGUAAAAAAAAUAUAAGAACAUUCCUAUCACACCAGAUAGAAGUGGAUCCUAUUAAAAAUAUAUAAGAACAUAAACACAAUGAAUAAAAUCGGUAAGUUACCGGAGCAGAACUUUGAACAGUCCAUCUUGCAAGGCAUCUGCUACCAUUUCAAGCAAAGGUAUAGCUCAAGAAUCCAUAAAAAUACCUGUGACAUUGACUUUCGUGCAGAGAGUGCUAAAACUGAAUGAGUAACCAACAGCGGUAAAUAGGAGCUCAAUUCUGCAGUGAAAGAAAAACAUGGAAUGAAGGAAAAACAACUAACCGUAGACUGUUCUUCUGGUUAUUCAUACAAAGAAGGAUACGAGGGAAGUCAUAUAGCAAUAGGAGAGUGAAUCAAAUGAUCCAUAAGUGUCUCUUCGAAUUGGGCAUGAGAUGAGUAUUCACUGGGAUAAUUGAUAUGCACAAUCACUGCACAUGAUUCUGUCACGGCAAUGUCUUGGCUAUUACAAUACUCAUCUCUUGCCAAAUUUGAACAAUCACUAGGAAGAGGCGAAAACUUACUUUUCUCUAAAACGGCUAACAUGUAUAAAAUGAAUCAAUAUUGUAUGAAUUGAUACAUGUUCCAGUAUUAUAAUAUUUUAUGUAUAUGUUUUCACGUGAAUAAGAUGAAAAUCAUGGUAUUAUGUAUUACAUGAAAGUGUAUUAUGACCCACUGUUAAAUGAUCACAAUAUUAUUAGAUGUGGUUUCCUUUUUGGUACUUAUGAUGUUGUGCAGAAAAUAUUAAGCGAAAAUUAUGGUGGGUUUAAUGUAUUGAUUUAACCGUAAAAACAAAAAAAUUGAAUGACCAAUUUCAACGAUAUACUUAUGAUGUUGUGCAGAAAAUAUUAAGCGAAAAUUAUGGUGGGUUUAAUGUAUUGAUUUAACCGUAAAAACAAAAAAAUUGAAUGACCAAUUUCGACGAUUAUAAAUAUAUCAUCAUACAACAAAAAAAAAUACUACAUAUUAUUUGUUUUUUAGAUGAUGCAUUCCAUGAUUUCAAAACACUAUUUUGAUACUAAGUAUUAAAAUAUAAAGUUUUGAAAAAAUUGGUUGGCCAACAUAAUUCUCCUUCCUCUUGUCUCUAGAUCUUCUUAUCGAAUCCAAAUAACUUUAACACUAGACCCUGAUCCGCGCGCCAGCGCUGGUAUGAAUUUUCAGUUUUUAAUUAUUUAUUUUAUUAAAUAAUGUAUUUGUAAUAUUCGUUCAUAUUAUAUUCAUUAAGUAAAUAUUUUAUUUUUGCAUCUUAAACUAUCUAUUUUUUUACGAAUGUGUGAUAUCAUAUAAAAAAAUAUAAAAAAAUGAGUAUAUAGAGUUAAUUAGAUAAUUGUAAAAACAGAAAUAUUUCUUUCGUGUGCGAUAUCAUAUAAAUAAUGAUCCGUCCAGUUAACAAAAAUCAUGAUUUUUUUAUGUGUAAUUUUUUUUAUUUUGACAAUUUCUUUAAAACUAUAUUAAAUUUUACAUAUUUUAAUUAGAAUAUUUUUAAUAUCUUUACCUUUUUAUUUGAAAUGCAACUCAAUAUUUUUUAAAAAAUUAUAACAAAAUAUUUAAAAAAUAUUUUUAGAAUUUGUUUGAAAAAUAUGAAAAUUACAUUUUAAAUUAAAAUCAUCCUAAACUAUGAUAAGUUUUGAUGUAAACGAAAACUCAAAUUAUGUCAAAAAUAAUUAUAUUCAAUGAUAAUAACAAUUUAAAUUAAUUAUUUUUAAAAAAUACAUUUACAUUGCCUGAACCUACUAGUCAUCAUGGCUUACAGUUCCAACUCUUAUGGUCUUGUGAAUUGAACAGUUGGCGUGGUGUUCUUGGCCACUAUAAUAAACUUUAAUUAGUCAUCACGGCUUACAGUUCCAACUCUUAUGGUCUUGCGAAUUGAACAGUUUAACCAACCAGUAAUCAACUUAAAUUUAAUUUAGAAACCGUGUUCUUCUUGAUUACGCAAAAAUAAGACAAUCUCAAGCGUGGUUAUAACGAGUAAAGAAUCAACCACAUCUCUUUCUUUACGCGUUUACUUUUUUACACAACACAAACAAUGAAGAUCUCAAUUAAACUGUAUUCACACAUCAUUAUCAACCACAUCUCUUUCUUUACGCGUUUACGUUUUUACACAACACAAACAAUGAAGACCUCAAUUAAACUGUAUUCACACAUCAUACAAUAGAGUUACACAAUUCAAAGAAUUUAGAAGCAGAUUCAAUCUGGCAUUAACCAACAAUCAAAUACACACAUUGCACACAAUCAGAACCAAACCAAACUCAGCUCUCCUUUGCCAAUGUAUCAGCCUGAUUAAACCGAGCAACGAGGCUCUCCACAGGCACUUUAACAGCAUCACUCCUCAUACCAACAUCCGAACACAGACGUAUAGCAUUACUAGCCCAAGGACUAACCAUACGCGCAACACACGCAGCCGCACUCACCGAGUUAGCCUGGCCGCUUCUCCCAAGCACAUAGCUUCUCCCCACCACCAAACCCGUCUUACAGUACAUCGCAAAAUCCUCACAGUUAUUCUCGAACACAUGGUACUCACCAAACCCAUUUCUCAGCAAAAGAAACUCCGCACGAGAGAUCACUUCCUCCGAAGGAUCCGAAGCCGCCGUCGUGCAGGUACCGCCUCGGAGCUUGGACAUGAACAGAGCCGGAGAGACACUGUACUCGAAGCGAAGGAGAUCUCCUCCGGAGAGAAAGCAAUCGAGACAAGAAGAGAUAACUCCAUGCGUGUUGGAUUGCUUUCCUCCACAGUUAGGACAAGGGUUGUCUCCUCCGUGAUUGGUAAUAGAGCUGACGAUGAG